CAACUCAGCACGAAUUUCAAAUUCAAAUUUCAAUUCCCUUCAGCGGAGUAGCAACACACUUUUGACACCACAACACUCAAUACGCAGUUUACCAUCCCUACGGUCAUCAGAAGAGCGAAAUUCAAGUUCUAAAAGCAAGAGUCUGCAGAACAGAAUUCCCUUUGAUUUCGAAUUCUUUCUUGGUCAAGCCUAGAAAAUAGAACCCUCACUGUACACGCUAAAGCUGAAGCUCGUUUGAAUCAGGUUCUAUGUAUAAAGAAAUCCUCAAUACUCCCCAGUCAAACUCUGUGCCCCCCACUUUCCCUGCAAUGAUGCCUGAAGUUACCACGUUGCAGAAACCUCGCAGGGAAAGGACAGACGCUUCCCUCUUUCUGUGAAUGACUGUAUUUGCAGAUUGAAUGCCCGAGUCGGGUUAUUUGGAUGCUCCCUGGCAAAUAGCGCCACAAGGGGGCAGCAGAGGGCUGUGUUCCUGAACCCGGGCAGCCUGUCCGUGGGUCCUUCAGCGUCUCACCUGAGUCCCUCCAGACCUCUGACUGGAAAAUUCACUUGUCUGGUACAGUCCAGAGAGCCGUCUUGAUUCUACUCCUUGAUUCUAUUUCCAGUUAGUCCAUUUUCUCAGGGGCUUGAUGAGUUUUACUUGUGCGUUGCUACAGGUAUUCGCUCCAUCAUCCAUCAGACCCUUGGUUUCUCUUUUCUGGGCACCGUUCUAAUCGCUGAGUCUACAAAACACAGCUGAUCGUUUCGCCAAGACCUUUUCCUCUUGGGAGUCCUGCCAAGGCAGAGUGACUCUGUGGAAAUGACACCCGUCGAGGACCAAAGCUACCUGGGUCCAGCCCUGCCUGCCUGCCUGCCUGCCCCACUUGCUCAGCUGCAAACCACCCCUGGAUUCUCGGAGCCCCCGGGCUCAUCUGAUCCCUCACUCCCCGCUGCCCUCACACCUGCAUUUCCUCUGCUUAGAGGCGGUAACCGUGGCCCCUAUCAAGUUUCUGAAACCAUCAUGAGGAGCCAUAUAAAGCCACGCAACAGUGGGCUCAUCCCCAUGAAUGUGCUCUACCUCAGUGAAAAUGCCUUCAACCCAUUUAGCCUGUGCAAUUUAACUUGUUCAAUGCAAAUCACUGGGGCUUGAUGGAAUUCAACUGGACACAAAUCGAUAGAAGUCAAUUCCAAGAAAUUAGCCUUCACAUUCAUCAAUACAAUUAAAUGAAAGUGAAUUUAGAGAAGAUUUACCUAAAUGGCUGACAGAUGUCUAAAAUGUACUGCAAAUGACCAUGGUGUCAAGUUGUUGGUGAGAGAUUUGGAAGUUAUGUUUUGACUCCUGAUGGACUGAUGUCACUGCUCCAGGUGGAGAGGAAUGUAUGAAGAAAAAAAAAAUAAGGAAUAUGCUUGAUAGUUAAAGACCUUCACAAACAGAUGGCUCAUCUUCCCAACACCCAGAAAAAAUAGGUAAGGAUAAGUUUAUCUUUGAUGGUAAGAGUGGUGCUGACUCAUGUUGGGUGAUUUUUUUAUAUUGAUA
rnacentral:lncRNA from 1 species